GGCACAUAAGCAUGGUGCUUUGCUGCAUCAGGGCUAGAAUGCUUUACACAGUGCAGCAUUGAGCCCAUGAUAAAGAUUAGUUGGUCGUGAAGUAAGAAUACUGCAUUUUGAUUAAGUAGGAUCUGACUUUUCUUUUAAGGAAACUGUGACAUUAUUGACAUGAACUGUGACCGUAUAGAUCAUUGUUGCAACCAGGGUCCUGUGGGUGCACCAGGUCUUGUACAGAGGAGGUCAAGUGGGGUGUCUGUGGAAAGGUUGCAAUUUGCUGGUUAUGAUUAUGCAGUCUGUAUGUGUGUAUCAUGUUUGUAUUUCAUCUGAGCUUUCCUGGGAACUUUCAAACUAACAUGUAAACAAUUGUGUCUGCCUGCAAAGAGCUGAAUCAUUCAUGGACAUGUGACUUGCCCAGGUGGCUACAAACUCCAUCUUGUUGCUGUGAUUUUUCACAGAAGAACAAAGGGGCCUCCACCCACAAGAGGAAGUCUAUUUAAACUCCUGGGAGACCCCUCCAUUUUGUCUUCAGCUGGCUAAAGAGAGCCUCUCCACCCCCAAGGAUACCUGAAAUAAACUGGAACAAAGGACAGUAACUACGGGGGUGUGAGUGAUUGCUGGACCCAGACUCGGAAAGAGUCCAGUCUGUGAAAGAAGCUUAUUGGAACAUCUCUGGGGGACAUUGCACAAAUGGAAUACUGGAUCAAGUUUAACAUUUUAAUUAAAAACCACUGCAAAGCCACAACAAAUACAGAAAUAUGAUCCUACCAUUGUUUCCCUGCUAAAGGCAGGACCACUGCUCUGAAGACACCAGGAACAAACCAGCACCCAAAGAAUUUACAAAGAGUGUAAAAGGCGCUGUGAAAUUCAGGACUUAUCAGCACUUUCUCUCCUGGAACACUAUGUAGAUGACUGGAGAACUAGCAAGACACCACCACAAGCACCAAAGGUGGUAAACCUAACCAGCUGAGAAGGAAUUUUUAGUCAGCCUGUUCAAAACUGUUAUCUAUUUAAGUCAAAUACCUGAAACAAUUGGGAGGAAAGACAUUAAAGAUUCAACAUGCCUACCACUUCAAUUCAGACCUAAAAAAGCUCCCCCUCCCCUUCAGUUCUAUGAUCCUCUAGGAAGACCUCUCCAGAACCCCCACCAAGAUCAAUAAAUAAAACAAAACACACCCACCCCUACAUAGAACAAGCUUUAGCAGUCUUAUUUUUAAGGUGAAAACAAAUGUCUUUAUAUUAUCAAAGAAGCAAAGAGGGUACAAACUCAUUUUCCCCCUUGGCAGGUCAUCUUUAACAUUCUCAAACUGUAAUAUGGCUGUUUGUGGUUUCCCUCAACUCUCUAAUGGUUCUCUCAAUUCUUAGUAAAUCUUUGGGUAUUAAAAACUAAAGAGUUAGCUUACACAAAAUUUUGUGGAAACCAAAUUAGACUCCUUUCUCCAGAACUCAAUAAAGGUCAAAAACUUGCACAAUUUUCAGAUCACGAUGAAGCCA